UCCUUCUGGUCCUUCAAUAUUAACGUCGGGGCCUUCAAUGUCCACCUUGGGUCCAGUGACAUCAAUGUCAGCCUUGGGCAGAUUCACAUCCACUUCUGGGCCCUCUCCUUUGAAGCCAGGCAUGCUGAACUUGGGCAUUUUCACUUUGGGCAUCUUCAGGUGCCAGUCUGGGCCAUGAGCAUCAACAUCUGGAGCACUGAUGUCA